UUUUUUUUCCUUUCUUUCCCUGAAAGUUGGGUCAUUUCUCCAAAGUAUACACAGUAUUUAUGUACAUAAUGUCACUUUCUUACAAUGUUCUGUUGUUGAUGUUGUGGGGUCCUUUUUGAUUUAUUCUUUUCAAGAAGGAAUAGAAAUGCAACUGGAAAACACAUAAAGACACCAGAAAUAAAACUGGUAGUUGUGGAUAGGAAUCUGCACCAUAUAUUGAUGGUGAUUUUGUUUAAAUGGAGAUUUCUAAUUGCUGGCUUCUGCCAAAUUAUGCAUUAGUACUUCCUCCUCAGAGAAACCCCUCAAGGUUCCCAUUAAAUCACAGUGUGACUAAAGGCUGAUUCCUGUUUGAGACUAAAAGCCUAGAAUAUUAUUUGCCAGUAGAUGAACCAGAGCCAGAAAGUGUAUAUGCAUUGCCCAGAGCGGAAGCUCCUAAUGGAGGCUGAGAGGCCACAAGGGAGGUCUCUGCCAAGGGCAAAUGCCCAUAAUAACUACGUUUAGGAUGUGUUGCUUUGUGGCUAUGGAGAUCUUUAACACAGGAGCAUCUGCCAUAAACAAGCCUCCAAGCUUCUUACAAAAAGCAUAUUUAGCCUGGGAUGAAACACCUACUACAGCUCAUCAGAACUGAAGAAGUUUGCAAAUUUGCUUCCUGUUUGCUGUGGUUGAUGUCUACAUUGCUGAGGGUUGACUGAGUACAAACUUGAGACUUAGGUUUUUGGUUCAUCACAGCAUUGAGAGGAAGAGAUACAUGCACAGAACGUGAAGGUGAUGUCACAGGCCAGAGUCUGGAGGGAACAGACAGUUGGGCAACCAAAAGGAUACAGAAAAGGUGAACUGAGCCUAUUUGCAGGUGCCCCAGAGGAGCUAAAGAUCCAAUUGCCACAUGGAAGCCAUGGUUGGGUCUGACAUCACUGCCAGGAGGCAGGUUGGAAAGAAACCACCUGCUAAAAGUCUUUAUGGUGUAAUAAUUAUGUAUAUCUGUGCUGUCCUUGAAUGUCCAAAUGUAUCAUCGACACAGAUUUGUGAUUCCUGGAUAUUUAUGUGUUGUAAAGUGUUUUGUUGGGUUGUAUAUAUGCCAGUAUGAGGAGGCUUGUCAAACAGGAUGAUGAAUUCCAGGGCUCAUCCAUCUAAACCACCCUGUCUUGUUGGAGCAAUUCCACUAGCAUUGUGAUGGGGAAAGGACAAGAAAUUGUGGCAGGAGGGCCGGGGAUUUAGCUCAGUGGUUUCACCGCCUGCUGUGCAAGCACAAGGACUGGAGUUCGAUCUCCAGUACCAAAAAAAAAAAAGAAAGAAAGAAAUUGUGGCAGGAGUGUAGGAGAGGAUUUGCAUGGAGGUCAGGAGAGUGGCACCAGUAUCCCACAUAUUAAGAAGUAGAAGAAGUAGAAGUAUCAACAGUGUGGCACUGUUCCCUCUCAUCUGCCACUGUGUUUAAUGCUCACUCUCACUGCAUUUAAUAGCAGUGAAGAAGGGGAGGAAAUGCUCUAAUGCUGUGAAAAACACAAACUACUUUUUUUGAAGAAUAGAGGAUUCAAUCUUGUUCUGCCUUCCUUUUUUUAAAUUAUAUUUUAUAAUUUAACUGACCUGCCUAAGUAAACAUCUUCUACAUAGACCCUGUAAUCUAACCAUGCCAAGGGAUUUGCCAGCCCUCUAAAACCCCACACUCUUGAGUGUUCUUGAGUUCUGGCUGAGCAACAUCCAAGGGAGGUGCAGAAUAAGCUAGUGAGGACUUUUUAGACUUUCUUCUCUUCAAACUUAUUGAUAAUUUUCAUGUGGCUUGCUUUGCAUUUCUGCUCAUGGAAAACCCAAACCUCAAACAGUAGGUUUGAUAAGUUAGCAGAGAUGAGCAGGAAAAUCUUUGACCUCUUGUCCAGUACUUCACUUCUUGCCCAGUUCCUGUACGUUUUUCUUAAAAGAACACCAUAGUCUUUCAAUAACUCUGGAGGGGAGAGAAAGAGAGGAGAGCAUGUAUACAAAGAGUUGACAUUUCAGUGCAUGGGUUAAAAAGCCCCCAGGAGCACACAGGAUUGGAGCUGUAAUCUGGAUGGUUACCUGGUCAGUAGGACAGAAUCUCCCCCGCCUUUUUGCUUUUUGGAAACUCUUAGGUGUAUGCUGUAGUAGACAUACUGUGCUAUAGUAUGGUAGUAUUCAUCUCUCAUUUUGGUUGCUUUUCAGAUUCUAUUUAGAAUAUUUGUUUUGAAUCAUUUCUAGCUUCUCAACCUCUGUAGACUAUUUAGUCUUUUCCUGCUUUUGACCAAAAUAGCAUUUUCUCUUCUCAUUUUGGGAACUGCCAAGAGCUCUAAGGACAGCCUGAUGAUGAUAGCCUAGACUCUAAGGUCCCCUCCUGCUCAUGGCUCCAGACAGAUGCUGUCAAGUAGACCCAAAGCUUCCUGUGAGAAUCUUCUGAGGCAGGAGCUCACAGAAGUCUUCAUUUGAGGAUUUCAUCCUGAAGUAAUCUAGGCAUGUUUGAUAAAAAUGUUUUGUGGGAAUUUUUUUUUCCUAAGAAAGCAUUAUGCAAAAAGUCACUUUUAAGGGCAUUUUAAAAUUAAGCCAGUUUUUGGCUUUUUCAGAUAACUAUGUGUGGAUACUUUGUUUACAUUGUGAAUAUUAAAAUAUGCAUCAUCUUGCUGGCCACUCAGUCCUCCAGGCACCAAGGCCCUGACUGUCCUGUGAAUCCUCACACAGAGCAAUGCCAUAAUGUCAGCUCUUAUGGAUAAGUGGUAAAACCUGGAGCUGACUCCCAUCUGUGUCCUGCGCUCUCAUCUAAUAUUCUCUAUAGAAUAGUAGUCAUUUCCUCAGUGAUGCUGUGUCUUAAUAGUGAUGGUUGCAAUGGUGAAAGGCUAGUAUGGUUUUUGUUUAAUUUUGUUUUGUUUUUCUUUUUGGUGAAAUUUUAGUUAUUUCAGCACCAAUCCAACUUGAAAGCAUUGUGGAUUUUGUUUUCCCUCUCAAACUAAAAGAUCAAGGCAUGUAUUACAUAUAAGUGUAUUUGUUGCCUCAACUCACCUGACACCAUAUUAGGAAAAGACCUGCCACUGAAGCAGGAGGCUGCACACUCCUAACCUUUCUCCCAGAGCUUGGGGUCCCUUGACACAGUGGAGAGCUUUUGCAAGGUGCUUCUGUACUUUUCCAUCCUGGAAAUGGGUGACUGGGCCUGGCUUCUGCUAUGAAAAGAGAACCAGCCUCAUUUUCUCAAUGCCCCAGAGAUCUAGGACAGGAUUUCUAAACUGGAAUCAUCAUCAUCCCUUAUCAGCCUAAAGAUCCCCCAAGAGAUAACUGCUGCCACCUGUGUUCUCACAGCAAUGCUGGUGGCAGCACCUUCUGUACAUAUGCAGCAUAUGCAGAGCUGAUACUCAGGGCUUCACUCAAGGUGAUGACCUGAACUGAAAACUGGGAAAUGCUCUGAAAUAUUUCCUAAUCAAUAAGCCCACCAAGAAGUGUUUGAUUUUUAUAUUUUGUUGGAUUUUGGUUUGCUUGGCAUAGCUAAAGGUGCCUUUUUUGUUUUGUUUUCUGCUUUAUUUUGUAGGACUUGUUCUAAACAUAAAAACAAGUCCAGAAGACUCUCCCACUGACUGUUACCUUUGCCCUAGGUUACCCUCAACUUUUAUGCUCACAUUUUCUUAAAUAAAGCAGGUGCUCCCUGGAAUCUCUGGGACCUUUUUGAGGCAUUUGAAGUAGAAUAUAAAGAGUGGUCUCAUCUCCUUCCUUAAUCUUCCUGGUGGUUGGGAUGUUCCACUUGUAUCAUAGUUUUUUUAUUACUGAUGUGCUCUGCUGUUUUUAAAUGUGAACUUGUGUGCAAAUGUGCAGAUGCAAUGUUCU
rnacentral:lncRNA from 1 species